AUCUAAAUCAUAAAACAACCCUAAAAUUAUAUCAUCUUCUUUCCAUCUUCUCUACUGCUGCCUUUUUUUCCCCUUGGUCUCUCGCAACCUUCCUCCUCAUCCUCUCCCGUAGCCUCUCUUCUCUCUUCCCCACGGAGUGGAACUCAAAGCUCUGCAUCUCCAGGGAAAUAUCAGGGCAGCUACAAAGAAGCGCUAGAAAUGGCUGCAGAGAAGAAAAGAUGCACCCUUGCUAUUUCAUAUUUUCAAUUUUCUCGACUUACACACGGUACGAAUGUAUGAACACAGGAAAGUCCAUAUCUGCCAGUAGUGUUAGUGUAAAAAAUAUAUCAUAGAUAAGCAUAUAUGUGUUCAAAUAUGAACAAGUUCCAAAAAAAAAUUUGUCUCAUCCCGUCCCAUGUAGAAACAUUGUAUAAACAACAGACGGAACAUGAGUAAGUUAAUCAUUUAAUCUUUUGGUUUUGUGCCGUCAUGCGCUUACCAAACGCAGAACGGAACAAUUGUCCCUUUCCGUCCUGCGUGUACCAAA